rfam:Nosema ceranae BRL01 Nc000049, whole genome shotgun sequence.
GCGAGUAUGGCGUAGCGGUAGCGUAUCAGUCUCAUAAUCUGGAGGUGCGGGUUCGACUCCCGCUAUUCGCA